rnacentral:rRNA from 1 species
UACAUAGGGGGCAAGCGUUAUCCGGAAUUAUUGGGUGUAAAGGGUGCGUAGACGGAAGAACAAGUUGGUUGUGAAAUCCCUCGGCUCAACUGAGGAACUGCAACCAAAACUAUUCUCCUUGAGUGUCGGAGAGGAAAGUGGAAUUCCUAGUGUAGCGGUGAAAUGCGUAGAUAUUAGGAGGAACACCAGUGGCGAAGGCGACUUUCUGGACGAUAACUGACGUUGAGGCACGAAAGUGUG